AAAUGGGUUCAGGAACAUUGAUAAUGGUUCUUCUUUGAAGAUCUGGACAAUUUCAGCAGUAAAUGUAUCUGGGCCUAGAGCUUUUAGGUUCAUAUAUCAGAAGACAAGAAGACAGUCUGGUGACACUCGCUUUGGAUGUGGAGACUGAACCAUGAGGGGAGGCAGCUUUGUCACCAGAGCCUUCUAGCUGCAGACUUGGGGGUUCUUUUUAAAUAUGGCUUCUUGCCACUGCUCUGUUGAUGUGGGGAGUAGAGAGGGUUUUCCCAGCAGAGUGCCAUGCAGCUGGUGG
rnacentral:lncRNA from 1 species